GACGAACGCUGGCGGCGUGCCUAAUACAUGCAAGUAGAACGCACAGUUUAUACCGUAGCUUGCUACACCAUAGACUGUGAGUUGCGAACGGGUGAGUAACGCGUAGGUAACCUGCCUGGUAGCGGGGGAUAACUAUUGGAAACGAUAGCUAAUACCGCAUAAUAUUAAUUAUUGCAUGAUAAUUAAUUGAAAGGUGCAAUUGCACCACUACCAGAUGGACCUGCGUUGUAUUAGCUAGUAGGUGAGGUAACGGCUCACCUAGGCGACGAUACAUAGCCGACCUGAGAGGGUGGUCGGCCAAACUGGGACUGAGACACGGCCCAGACUCCUACGGGAGGCAGCAGUAGGGGAUCUUCGGCAAUGGACGAAAGUCUGACCGAGCAACGCCGCGUGAGUGGAGAAGGUUUUCGGAUCGUAAAGCUCUGUUGUAAGAGAAGAACGGGUGUGAGGGUGGAAAGUUCACACUGUGACGGUAUCUUACCAGAAAGGGACGGCUAACUACGUG
rnacentral:rRNA from 1 species